rnacentral:rRNA from 1 species
AGCGAACGCUGGCGGCAGGCUUAACACAUGCAAGUCGAGCGGGCACUCUCGGGUAUCAGCGGCGGACGGGUGAGUAACGCGUGGGAACGUGCGUUCUGGUUCGGAAUAACUCAGGGAAACUUGAGCUAAUACCGGAUACGCCCUUUUGGGGAAAGGCUUGCUGCCGGAGGAUCGGCCCGCGUCUGAUUAGCUGGUUGGUGAGGUAACGGCUCACCAAGGCGGCGAUCAGUAGCUGGUCUGAGAGGGUGAUCAGCCAGACUGGGACUGAGACACGGCCCAGACUCCUACGGGUGGCGGCAGUGGGUAAUAUUGGGCAAUGGGCGCAAGCCUGAUCCAGCCAUGCCGGGUGAGUGAUGAAGGCCUUAGGGUUGUAAAGCUGUUUUAUCCGAGACGAUAGUGACGGUACCGGAGGAAUAAGCACCGGCUAACUUCGUG